rnacentral:lncRNA from 1 species
CAACUCAGUAGCUACCUCUGUAGUAAUGGAGCUCAUGGCAAACCAUUUGAACAGUGGCCACAACCUAUAUGUUGACAAUUAUUAUACCUCUGUUCAACUAGCAAACUCUUUGUUAUCGAGACAAACUCAUCUUUGUGGAACCUUAAGACGAAACCGAAAGGGCAUUCCAAAAGACUUGACAAAAGAAAAAAUCCAGAAAGGAGAAAUGAUUUGUUUAGAAAAUGAUGAAGGGGUCCUUAUAACUAAGUGGCAGGAUAAACGAGAAGUUUUAAUGUUGUCAACUGUGCACAAACCGGAAUAUGUAGAAAUUCCAUCCAAAAACCCAGACAAGCCGUCUGUACUAAAGCCACUUGUUGUCACAGCCUACAAUAAGGCUAAAGUAGGCAUAGAUCUUUCUGAUCAGAUGUCUUCAUACAGCACCGCUGUGAGAAAGACUAUGAGAUGGUACCACAAAGUAGGUGAAGAACUCGUUCUUGGUACUUCUGUGGUUAACAGCUGGUUGGCAUACAAUACAUUUUUGAAAACAAAAAAACCUCCCAAUGCUAAAAAGAAGCACUUAAUUUCGAUUACAAAAAUUCAAAGAACAGCUAGCUUGCUCCUUAAGAGUAGGCUUGAAACUGGAAAAAAAUAUUAUAAUCACCAUUUAAUUGAAGGAGGAGCUCUUCUUAUUGGAAAACGGUAUUAUAAUAAAAGAAACACACAAUUGUCCAUUAAUUUUAAACUGUGCCUUUGGGGCAUUGUGCCUGAUGAUGCCAUCUUUGAUGUCAAAAGCCCUUAUGAAUUAAAUUUAAAUUAUUUGGACAAAACUGUGUUCCUCUAAUUGUAUUAUUAUAACAGCAUGAUAGUUAUUAUCAUGUUUAUUUUAUUUUAUAAGUUGUUUUUGAUCAACAAUGGACACCACAAGCAGACAGGUGUAAUUUUGGACUAAAGAGAAUGUACGAUAAACUAGAAGGAAUGCAGUAUGUGACAAUCGUACCUUCAGAUCAUCCGAGAAUGUGAAGGAACACACCUACACUCUACUGGAGCUUUUGUGAACUACAAAACUCCGGAUGAACUAUCACUAAUCACUGCGCAGCCAGUUAAAGGAAAACUCAGUGAGUAUCGUGCAGAAGAGAAAACAGUGGGUAAUAAAUCCGCUGUGAGCAAGGAAGAAGAAAUGAGUGAUGAUGACAGCCUUUUAGAAGUGGAGGUAAAAGAGAAGGCAACUGAAGUGAUCUAUAUCGAUUCACUGGACUCACGAGAAACAUCACCAGACACAGACCGUGUUACAUGUGAAGGAAUGGAAAGAGUUAGGAAAAGGAAACAAAUGCUUCGUGUGAGACAAGAUCGGAUAUCCUCCAAAAGAAAGACUAGAAGCAGUAAGAGAUGUAGAAGAGAUCGCUCUCCCAGCUGUGACGUAGAGUGGUUUGUUAAUGGAACCCCGAUGCGACUGCAGGGCGAACAUUACCCUGUGUUAAUAUCGCAAUCCAAUUGGAAAGAGAUAACAAAGGAAUGUUAUGUUUGUAGAAAACAUGGAAAAAGAAAACAAGUUCACUUUCAGUGUAAGCAGUGUGUUGUAGGGCUCCAUGUAAACAGUUGUUUUGAAAUAUAUCACACCCGUGAAGACAUUUAAGAUGAGUUUAGUUUAGUUCUGUUGUGGUAUCAAACCGAAAAAUUAUAACUCGUUAAAUUUAUCAAACAGUAUUUUGUCUCCUCAGGUCAUACUUUUUAGCUUGACGCACUUAAAAUCAACAAUACUUACGUCUCUGUCAGUAAUCGAGAUAGAGAGAGCGACAGUUACCGUUUUCUGCCAAAUAGUCAGUUUUCAUAUGCUUUGGUGACACCGAUGUUAUUCACAUGUCUGUCACUGGCUUUUAAGUGUAUAAAGCUAAAAAAUACAAUCUGAGAUAUAUGAAAUGUUGUGUUUCCAAAGGUAAAACAGACUGCCAAGUUAUUAAGUUGUUUUAUAGUUAGUAGGGUUUUGUACAUUUUUGUAAUGUUAAAACACAAACAAAUAGUCCUCCCGGCUCAGACGGAAGAGGUAGGUAGAUUUUGUGACAACUGAAAUAUUUUAAAUUUAUUCUCAUGGGAUUUACUGUAGUCAAUAUCUCGAAAACCGUUCGAGAUACAAAAAAUUUCAAUAGUACAAACAAAAAGUUUAGAAAAUGUUAUGAGCAUUCUAGCAAACAUUUUGUUUUUUUCUCUAGGUUCAUAAAUAACGGAGUUUUGAAUUUUCCCAAAGUUUGAAUGGUUGUCAUGAUGGAACAAAAUGGUGUACCAAGUUAACAAACAAUCUUAGUCAUCAUAUUUUUAAAAAUCAAUUUUUGAACCGUUUAAACUUAAUUCACCAUUUCUAUCGCCAGUUCUUGUCGGAAAAAAUUCAUAUGGGAUUUACAUGUAAUCAAUAUCUCAAAAUUGUUCGGGAUACAAAAACAUUGUUAGUCGCAAAAUAUUUAGUAAUGUUAUAGGCAUUCCAGAACACGUUUUUUUUCUGGGUUUUUAAAUAACGGAUUUGUGAAUUAUUUAAAGUUUGAAUGACUGCCAUAAUGGAACAAAAUGGCCUACCAAGUUGGCCAACAAACUUAGCCGAGAUCUAUUUUUGUACCAAGUUUAAACUUGCUUAAGCUAUUUUUGGGACAGUUAUCAUUUCCAUAAACCACGUUACAUAGCAUAAGUAUAUAUUAAUGAGAUUUUGAAUAAGGGAUGGUUUUGGCCUCUGAGGUUCAUUUUCGGUGAAUUUAUACAGAAAUGUACGGUAAGUGCUGCCAUGAGGACAAAUUUAUACACACAAUUUACCUAAAAUUUGAAUCUUCACAGUAUUUUUAGUUAGGAUUAACUUUUUUAUAAAUAUGUUUAAAUAGUUAAUAAAAUUAUUAAAAAUAUGAAAAUUUGUUCACUAAUUUACUUUGUAGUUUAAUUACUCCUCGUCCCUUUAGAAUUGUUGCAGGAAAUACAUGUUUAGUACAUCAGUGGCUGCUGUUAAAGUUACAUCUUUAUUUUUUUGUUAUUUUGUAGCUGCUUAAACUUUUUUGUUUUAACUGCAGAAUCUCCAGGAUAUUUUGAAAGUAACAUGAUUUUGCUGUCUUCAGUUCUUGUACUUUUAUCAACAAUAUGCUUUGAAUUUGUAGGUAACUUGUGUUGGUUUUUUAAACUGUCUUCAAAUUGAGUUUUAGAACUGGCAAGAGGCUUAACACUCUUUAUAGAUUUCCUCCUUGUUGCAAACUUGAUUUCUCUAUCACUCAGUUUAAGCAACCUCACUUCACACCUUUGUGACAGUUGUGCUAAUGAAACUUUGAUCAAUGGUCCCUUCAGGCCAGCUGAAGCUUGAGUUUUAGCGAUAGUGCUCAUCUUUUCAACCCUGGCUACUGGAUCCAAAUUCUUGAGCCAGGUUUUAAAAUGUUCAUUGCCGAUCUUGACUAGUGGUCCGUUGGUUUUAUCCAUUGUGCUGGUCACGCUUGGUCAUCAUCAUAUCUCUUUCACCACAGCCUUCAUCGCUAAUGGACAUUAGAUAAUAGUCAAAUGGUUUCCAUCUUCAAAAGUAAAAAAAAGUAGAGAAUAUAUAAAGUAAUGUAAGCUAGUUAUUUUACCCUUAAAACUAUGCAAUAUUCCAAGUUUUUGUGUAACAAUUUGUGUUAUGCAGUACCAAAGUGUAUCAAGUACAGAGUGCAAACACUAUACUCAUAUUAGCUCUUUAACCCUUUGGGUACUACAUAAUUAUUAGCUUUUUACUAACUCUUUAAACUUACUAUUGUGUUACGAGUAGUAUUUUUGACUAUAUUUGAAUUAGUGAUUUUAAAAGGGCAGAUUUGAAAUUUUUGGCAAAAUUAACUUUAUAAACUUUUUUGUUCUUUGAAGAUAGCUUCAAUGAUUUGAUUUAAAAGAGCGCCUGAAAAUGCUCUUGUACAUUUUACCCUAGCCGAAAGUUUAUUGGUUGUUUUAAAAGGACCAAUUUAUUUCAAAUCUGUCCCUUUAAAAAAAUCAUUCCCUGUGGCUGGACUAGUAUAAGCUGUGCAGUGUUUAGUGAUUUGCAGCCAAAUAACAUAACCUAUAUUGUAUAUGAUCAGUUUUAAAGAGUGUUGUAGUCCCACGUUGGCUGUGUCAUUUUUCUCCGAAUCGGUGUUUAAAAAAUGUUCAAACUUCCAAUUCCCACGUCGAUGUGUCCUAUGCUGUGGAAAUUGUAUGUAGUGUUGUUGGAAGUAUACUGAGUGUUAGUGAAAGUAUACGUUAUAUGUCACUAGGACUAGGCCUAUAUUCAUCUCAGGUUUUAAAUAGGUUAAAUGAUAGUGCAAAUUAAAUAUCACUGCAUUGAAGGCUCACACUUCUUCGCAGAUGGGAUAGUCAAUCAGUGGUGGUUCACUGUGAAUCAUAUGCAACUGAGCGUUGAAAAAACAAAAUACAUAAAUUUUUCUUUAAAAAAAGAAGUAAAUUUUUCAGUACCGAUUUUAUAUAGGUGUGCAGAUUGUAUUAGUCAACAAAUUCAUUGUAAAAAAAGUAAAUGUUCUGUUUUGGGUAAAACCAGUGAAAUAAAGUAUUUAGGUGUAUAUGUUGAUAGUGAAAUGAAUUGGAAGAUACAUAUAAGUAAAUUAAAUAGUAAAAUAAAUAAAAUCCUAAGGUUUUUCUAUUUUUUUAAAAGUAUGUGUAGUGAGAGAGUUUUGCGUACAGUUUAUUUUUCAAUGGUGCAGAGCAGAAUAGAGUAUGGAAUAGUAUUUUAGGGCAAUACAUAUAUUUCUUACUUGAACUUAAUAUAUCUACGGCAGAAGCAUUUGGUAAGAAUAAUCUCAAAUAAAACUAAAUAUGAACCUCCUCGUCCAUUGUUCUUAGACCUAAAAAUUUUUCCUCUGAGAUAUUUAUAUGUAUUCAAAGUCUUAAAACUUUUUUACUGUAGAAGUGGAAAUAUUCCAGCCAAUGUAAAUACCUAUAAAUUGAGAUUAAGAAAUGCAAAUAAAUUUACAAUACCUAAGCCAACAAUAUCUUUUUACACUAGAACAUAUAAUUUUAUCGCACCAAAGAUUUUUAACCAAAUACCUGAUUAUAUUAAAUAUUCAUACAACAAAAAUAUUUUUUUGAAUAGACUAAAAUCAUGGCUCUUUCAUUUGGAAGAUAUUGAGUUUUUGUUUAAUAUUAUACAAUAGCUUACUUAUUCAGAUGAUCAGUGUUUAUCAGUAAUGUAUGGUUAAUAUUUGUAUGUAAAUAUUUAUUUAUUGUUAAUACAGUUGUGAAGUCAA